ensembl:misc_RNA Metazoa_SRP Metazoan signal recognition particle RNA
GCCGGGCUUGGUGGGGUAUGCCUGUAGUCCCAGCUACUUGGAGGCUGAGACAGGAGGAUCACCUGAGCCUGGGGAGGUCAAGGCUGCAGUGAGCUGUGAUCCAGCCACUGCACUCUAUCCUGGGUGACACAGUGAGACCUUGUCUCAA